UGAGGAAUAUUGGACAAUGGGUUAGCGCCUGAUCCAGCCAUCCCGCGUGAAGGAUUAAGGACCUAUGGUUUGUAAACUUCUUUUGUACAGGGAUAAACCUACUCUCGUGAGAGUAGCUGAAGGUACUGUACGAAUAAGCACCGGCUAACUCCGUGCCAG
rnacentral:rRNA from 1 species